CCUACGGGGGGCAGCAGUGAGGAAUAUUGCCCAAUGGGGGAAAACCCUAAGGCAGCAAUGCCGCGUGAGUGAAGAAGGCAUUCGUGUUGUAAAGCUCUUUUCUGGGUGAAGAGAGAGGACGGUAGCUCAGGAAGAAGUCCCGGCUAACUACGUGCCAGCAGCCGCGGU
rnacentral:rRNA from 1 species